AUUAUAAUACAAAAAAAUUUUUUUUAAUGCUAAUUUAUUACAAAUAACGUAGAGAUUUUAUAUAAUAAAUGUUAUACAAUAAUAUCUCGAGAAAAAAUAAACAUUAAUAUUUCUAUCAAUACAGAAUAACGAUACUGAUACCUCUUAAGGAUCAGUUACGGAAUCGCUACAGACCAGAUAAAUCGUAACGCACAUCCCUAGGUCUCCAUUGUAAACAUACUGCUGUGCGAUGGAAUUGUCAAAUACAAAGCAAUCAGAAUUCAAAAUCGUGGACGAUACACCCUCAUGAAUAGAACGUGAUAUACCUUCAUAUGUGUGGCAUGUUGUAAGCCCAAUUAGCUCUAAUCUGUUGGACGCAACAGUUGAAUUAAAAUAAAAGAUAUUUAUACACAAGAGGAAAGAGUGAAAAAUUAUUAACCCUCUGUCUGCAAUCUAGAUCUUUCUUUAGCAAAGCAAAAUGUCAACUUUUAUAUAAAAGUUUUAACAUUUGAAUUAAAACUUGGUAAUAAAGAGAUUGAAAAGAAAUCUUGAGCUUUUCUAAAUUAUUCAAAAACCAAAAACAGUGAAAAAAAUAUAACUACAGAAAAGACCCAGCUUUACAGAUAAAGAAAGUAAAAAUAUGCAGACGAAAGGCUAAUAAUUUGCUUAAAUUAAAAAAAAAUACUUUUAGGCAAAUAACACAACUACAUAUUUAAAUUAACCUGUAAGCAAAGUGUUUUGCUCGCUUCCUAGAGCCAAUCAAUUGUACCAUCGCAAAGAACUGUUCAGACCCAUCAGAUUUCUCCUGUUUCUCUAGUACCAGCAUAAAAUGAUGGCCAAAACAAGAUUGUAUCAUGACCCAGUCCCUGGUUCCAGGAAAAUUAAUGUUACUUGCCAAAAAAAUAAUUUCAUCGCCUAGAGAAAAUUACACAGAGGACAAUAUAAGUAUAAAGAAAUAAACUACAACUGCGAUUAAACAGCAAAAAUUCAAUACCUCGUAAUGUAAUUCUUUUGUGACUUGUAACAAGGUGUGGCAUCACUUGUUCCAGCGAUCCUUGCCAUUUGCAGGACACGCCUGGACAGGGACAGCUGUAUGGACAGAACUCACACGCAUUUUCAUGAUCUUCCUUUUCCGUGUGCACCAGGACAACUGUGCAACCACUGGUGGAAUAUUUGCAUGGAAACAUGACAUUACUUAUCAUCUUUUCCAUAGCCAAAUUACGGAUGUUACCUACGUUGACCAAAUGUUAUCUGGUUAAAUGCAAUCUCAACAGCAAAGAAAAAUAAAUUUCUUGAGAAAAUCUGAACGUACCCAGUGGACCCCUGCAUGUGGGGCAGCAGGAGAGCUUCGGUAUACAAUUUGUGCAGACUAGAUGUCCACUCUGACACUGCAGAAUAGGUGGAAGCGCAUAAUCGUGGCAAACGGGACAUUCGAAGAGGCUUGCUAAGUCGGUGGAACUGCUCAGGGCGGACACGGUCGACGCGGAAGUGCUUGCGACUCCUUGUCCUCGCUUGUCCGUAUUGAUGUUUAGUUGAGACAUUUUGUUCUUUAGAUUAUGUAUUGAAGAUUGUCACACACACUCUGAUCCGAACGAUAAUCUGUUUUUCAAACUGUCUCAGCGAUGCAUUUCUGUUGGUAGCUAGCUUCUAGCUAAUUCACUUCUCUGCAAACUUGCAAUGUUCAUAUAAGAUAUAACGUAUAUAUAAGAUAUUGCAUCGACUCGACAUCUCGUUUAAUUUUGAAGUACUCGCAAAAACGAAAUUAUAUAUGUUAAUACAUGCUUUUCUUCUCUUUUUGUCUACAGGUAUUUAUCUCUUUUUCUUAUAAAUGUACAUGGAAUAAACUACAAAUUUUGCCUGGCUACUUUUAAGUUUUUAAUCUUAAUAAUUAAACAGUAAAAAACUUUCUAUUAAAAUAGAAUAUUAAUGUAUCACUAUUAAUGUGAAGUACAAAAGCUCUAGAUAUUUUUUUAAACUGCAAUCUCUGUAUAUAUAUUUUUUUAUGCGCUCUAUCAUUGUAAUUAAAAAAAGUUAUGAGAUACGAUUCUGUGAGUUAUGCCAAAAUUUUGUCUGUACAAUUAUCUAAAGACCUUAAUUUAGAGUAGUCUAAAAAUUUUGUAUUAUUACACAAAUUUUUAAAUUGUCCAAGGUUUAAUAAACUCCACACAUCUAAUUGUGCUUUUUUCGAUCUUUGUUCUAAGCUCUAAACAUUGCAGUUGAGAUCUACAGGUCUAGUUCUGAGAUAAUUAAAAGUUAAACCGAGGUGAAUCUCAUCUCGGAUUAAAUUUUAUUUUAAUCUGCAUUAGAAUUUAGAGCUCAAAACAAAAAAAUAAAGAAAACAACAUCACGCAUAUCUAGAACCUAAACCUAAACCUAAACAAUUGACGAUAAUCACCAACUGGUAUUAUGCAAAACAAGCCGCGACAUGCGGUUUUUUCCCUUCUUACAACUUUACGCGUUGUGAAAAGAAGAAACAGGAAUUUGCCGCGCUCGUCAUCAGAAACUUACCGAUUGCGUGGGCGAUUAGCAAGCCUCAAGGACAAAUACACGCGGUGAUGAUCGUCUGCGUUCAAAGCAGCUUUGCAACUGUUGUAAAAUUCUUCAACACGAUUGAUUCUUGCUCUUGGUUCCUGUUAGAUCACGGCAUCGAUCAUGUAAUUUCACGUGAAACUUUCCACUUUUCAUUUUCCGCUCAGUCUCAUUUCACGUGAACUUUUUCAGGAACCUAAAUAUGAAUACCGGCCUUGGCUCACUUUCAGUGCUGGCACUGCUGGCAUUCCUCUUCCGUAUAUAAUAGAGUAUAUAUACUUAAAAGAGAAAUCCCACGAUCUAGAAACACUGGCUACCGGGAUUAAUAAUUGAUAAUUUUGUAUUGAUAUAGCAGAAUCUGCGAUCCUUGUUGCUGACUACACUUUGGUUUUGGCAUUCCUUGUACGUUCUCUUUUAUUUGGUACAAAGAAGAUAAGAGUUUUUUAAUAAAGAAAUCCGUAAUAAAAUUUAUUUAGUUUUGCACGCAUAAGAUUAAUUUAACGGGAGCGCCCCGAUUGACCACGUCCCAAUUGACCACAACUUUUCUAAUUGGUGGUUCAACAGAAAAACUCAUAGCAUUCAUUGUUAAAAAUAAUGUGGUCAAUUGUAACGUGAUCAAUCGGGGCGCUUCUAAUUUAACUUAAAUUAGAGUAAAAGUUAAUUUUCAGAAGUUGCAUUUAUGUUAAAUUAAAAAGCUAUAUAAUCUAUUAGAUCAAUGUAAGACAUGAUCUGCACAUUUCGAUCAAAUUCCGAACCCAACGCUUAUUACUUUCCCUAUUGUCAUGAAAUUUCAGUUUGACAAUCAUAACAUAAACACGGCGCGCAUUGCUCUCCCACUAUACAAAAUAACGUAUUAAUAUGUUUCAUUAAUAUUGCUAAUUUAGUAUUUGUUACUACAUAUAUAAACAUUUAAUAACAACAUGUUUGAUAAAUGUUGUUAAAUGACUUAAUUUAAUUUUAUGAGGUACUUAGUGUACAUUACUAUUAAGUUUAGUUUAGCUA